GCCAGCGGUGUGACUGCCUGCCUGCUUUAUCAACCGCUUUCAGUAACAAUCUGCUAAUAAACUUGGGAAGGAACGGUGGCGUUGUUCUCAGCUAAACGCCAUGAAAAUGCUCCUCUACUAUUUCUCAACAGAGGUGAAAAGCUUUUGUAGCUUCCUGGAAAUGGCCGAAGCAGGCGACGCGUAGAUCAAAGACUGUGAUCUUUGUCUGCAAUUAAUCAUUGUUCAGGACGGCCCUUACCGAUGGUAGAAUCCAUGAGCUGCUCCAGCUGGGAAAGGUCCUAAAGCGUGCGCCUGGCGCCGGGUACGUGCAAACCAGGGCCAGAAAUUGCUGGGGCAGCAGGCGUUGUGCAGCGAGCCCGCUGUGCCGACCCAGUGAAUUGUGUGGGUCCUCAGCACUUCUGGAAAUUGUUUUUUGUAAGUCUGAGCUGAAAAUGUAUUUCUGUUUUUUAGAGUUUCUGAAUUACUAUAAUGUUCAAUGUAGUUUAAAAGUCACCGAGGCAGUUGAGACCGGUUGCACUCCCAGAGUGGGUGGUUUCAUGGCUGAACCUCAUAUCUGAAAAGCUAAACGUUCUGGUACAGCGUGUUUAAAUCCCAAAAAGGUCAAACCAGACUUUCAUACUUGAGUUAGAUUGACCUUGGUUUGCUGCAUGAGACUCUUUAGAGAAAGAAAGAGAUCUUUGAACAGCUUGUGGUGACUCUACGCACAUUCUUGAAGCAAAGGGGUUUGUUCUUGCCCACAGCAUCCCUCCCCUGCAUUGUCGAGUGGAAAACUCUUAUGCUAAUUAUCUCGCUGUCUGUUAUCAAUAAGAAGUGAUUUAAUUUCUUUGGCAAAGUGUUGCAACAAGAGCAAAUUAGAUUGAGAGGCAAAGUGAAAUAAAAAAUAUGCAGCUGUUCUGCCAAACAAUAAUCGUGACUGUUUACAACGUUUUGUUUUAGACUGGCUUGUACACAGAAUCCUUUCUACUGAAGGUUUUCAUGUCACAAUCCGCUGCUCGUGCAAGGAAACCAGAUUAAUAGAUUAUAAAGGACAAAAGAGACCUAGGUUCAUCUGGUUCGGCUUCCUGCAUUAUGCAGGUCAUAAGGUUUUUGUGAAUUUGUUGCUUUUUCUCAUUUGGAAGAAUUUAACUACAGCAUACCUGCAUCUUAGAAAAACAUCGGAUUUUCAUUUUAAAAUGGGCUGUGAGAGAGAGUAAAAUACGAGAUUUGUUUCUAUCAGACUCUCCCUGACAGACUAGAAAUCAAAAUACCUUUUUAAACUUGUCUAGUUUCUGCUUUCAGUUUCUGGAUGGUGCUGUUAUCUCGGUCUGCUUGACGGAGGAAUGCUCCAUUGCCAGAUUUCCGUCCCUGUGUAGCUGUGUACAGGCUGACCAACUGAGCGUUUAACACUCCUGCUGCAGACGUGCAGAGCUCCCCCUCGGGUCCGUCUGUACUAAUCCUGUAACCAUUCCUGUGGCGGUUCCCUGUGAGCACUCCAGUUUUUCACCCUUUUGAUCUGGGCAGAAGGGGACAGAGCGAUCAGCGGUGAUCAUACCCAUGCCGACAGCGCUCCUGGCCGAGACGUCUCUGUUAGGCAUCCAGGGAUUACAGCAGCCCGUGUUCAGCUAGUUUCCCAGCACGGCUCCUAAAAUAUUCUCAGUUCUGCUCCUUCUUGGGAUGGCAUCCCCAACCUGUUGGUUUGUGCUUGUUGUGCAUGUAUGGCUUUACACUUGGCCCUCUUGAAAAGGACGAGUCCUUAGACAGCAUUGUGGCUUGCCACAGUCUCUUUUUGUACCCCCUCCUGCUACUGUUGAGUGUCACCUACAAACUUGAUUGGUAAUGAUUUUAUAUUUUCUUCCAGAUAAACAACUGUUUCUGUCUCCGCUGUAGGAGUUUCCUGGUUCCGGGUGUGUGUACACCUCAGCUGUGUCAAUAUUGUGUGAGGAGGAGGUCUGGAUGUACAAUGGUGUACAUCCUCUUGCCACACCCCAGUUUCAUGGGAAGAAAGCCCAGUUCAGGAGCCGGAAGGGAGCCAGGAGGCACACUGCAGCAUUUGCCUGCCCUGGUGACUAUAACAUAGCCAUUAAAUAAUGUAGGGCCCAAAACAGGUAGUUGCAGGACCCAUAGAAGAAAGAUGAUGACUCUAGGACACAGUGCUUACAACUAUAUUUUGAUACCUUCCUGUUAGAUGGAUUCCAAUCCAUUUGAUUAUGCCUUCUUGCUCUUAUAUUGUCUUUCUUACAAUCACGUAAAUGCUUCACAGGGGUUGAAGUACAGCCCGUCAGCCCUCUUGCAGAAAUCUCCUACUAGUGCUAUUACCAUUCACCACCGAACCUUGCAGUUUGUCAAAACAAUUUCUCUCUCAGCAGCUAAACUCGUGAAGCUUUGUUUCCCAUGGAUUUGUGUCUGUAAAUGCCCCCCUGACAAAUCUUCCAGCUCUUUCCCAGUCUUGCCUUGCCCUGUCUGGCUGAGCCAGGGGUAAUGUGUUGGCUGGGAGCUCCACAGGGGCCAAGCAGGCAGGGGUACUGCCCCUGGGGGACAGCCAAGGGCUGAGUUCUGCCCACCUUUCGCACCACCAAGGUGGUGCCUCUACUAUGUACUCUACUCAGCUGUUCAUUCAAGACCUAAAUAUGUUUGGGACUUCUUCCCCACUGCCAAAUUUGAUCGAGAUUGGAGGAAGGAGAGGAAAAAUUACAUGGAACAACAUAGUCACAUUAGACUGUUUUAUUUUUAGGAAACCAGGCUAAGAAUAUCAAAGAAAUACUGAGUAGGAAUAUGGACAGUGUAUUUGCCUGCUCAGGUUUUUUUGCCAUGAAAUUUUUCAUUUCUUCCUAAGAACAGCAGGUGAUCUGUCUAGGGAAUUUCUCAACCAAAAUAAGCAACCUCCUGACAGAUUUCACCUGUGCCCCAGCGUGCUCUGAGGAUGCCUGGGACGGAAGCAUUGAACAGUGACAGGGAAUCGCUAGGCGGCCGCGUUGUUUGGCUGCCUGGGUGCAAAGGGAUGUAUGGCGAUACCCAAGAGUGGAACAAAAGUUUAUUUUGUUUAAGAUCCAUAGAACUUUUGAUGGGCGUGUUGGAUAUUUGCCAGGGCCGGGUUUUCUGGUUUCUUUUUAAACUGUAUCUGUUCAUUUUAUUUCUGCUGGUAUUAUGACAAAGCCACCUCUGUAAGAUAGGCAGUGAGUGCUUUCAGAGAUCUAAUCAUUCUUGAGCUGUACAGGAAUAAAGAAGCUGUUUCAACACCUGA